GUAGGUGGCAAGCGUUGUCCGGAAUUAUUGGGCGUAAAGCGCGCGCAGGCGGUUCUUUAAGUCUGAUGUGAAAGCCCACGGCUCAACCGUGGAGGGUCAUUGGAAACUGGAGAACUUGAGUACAGAAGAGGAAAGCGGAAUUCCACGUGUAGCGGUGAAAUGCGUAGAGAUGUGGAGGAACACCAGUGGCGAAGGCGGCUUUUCUGGUCUGUAACUGACGCUGAGGCGCGAAAGCGUGGGGAGCAAACAGGGAUUAGAUACCCUGGUAGUCCACGCCGUAAACGAUGAGUGCUAAGUGCUAGGGGGGUUUCCGCCCCCCUUAGUGCUGCAGCUAACGCAUUAAGCACUCCGCCUGGGAGUACGGCCGCAAGGCUG
rnacentral:rRNA from 1 species